UUAUAAUAGCUUAAGUAAGAGUUUAAUAUUGAAGAUAUUAAGGUAGUAUAACUUUACCAUAU
rnacentral:tRNA from 1 species